rnacentral:rRNA from 1 species
UGUGCUUGCACAUUUUGGACGUCGACCGGCGCACGGGUGAGUAUCGCGUAUCCAACCUUCCCUCCACUCGGGGAUACCCCGUUGAAAGACGGCCUAAUACCCGAUGUUGUCCACAUAUGGCAUCUGACGUGGACCAAAGAUCCAUCGGUGGAGGAUGGGGAUGCGUCUGAUUAGCUUGUUGGUGCGGGUAACGGCCCACCAAGGCGACGAUCAGUAGGGGUUCUGAGAGGAAGGUCCCCCACAUUGGAACUGAGACACGGUCCAAACUCCUACGGGAGGCAGCAGUGAGGAAUAUUGGUCAAUGGACGUAAGUCUGAACCAGCCAAGUAGCGUGCAGGAUUGACGGCCCUAUGGGUUGUAAGCUGCUUUUGUUGGGGAGUAAAGUGAGGCACGUGUGCCUUUUUGCAUUUACCCUUCGAAUAAGGACCGGCUAAUUCCGUGCCAGCAGCCGCGGUAAUACGGAAGGUCCAGGCGUUAUCCGGAUUUAUUGGGUUUAAAGGGAGUGUAGGCGGUCUGUUAAGCGUGUUGUGAAAUUUAGGUGCUCAACAUCUACCUUGCAGCGCGAACUGGCGGACUUGAGUGCACGCAACGUAUGCGGAAUUCAUGGUGUAGCGGUGAAAUGCUUA